rnacentral:rRNA from 1 species
UACGUAGGGCGCAAGCGUUGUCCGGAAUUAUUGGCGUAAGAGCUCGUAGGCGGUCUGUCGCGUCGGCUGUGAAAUCCCGAGGCUCAACCUCGGGUCUGCAGUCGAUACGGGCAAACUAGAGUAUUGCAGGGGAGACUGGAAUCUGGUGUAGCGGUGAAAUGCGCAGAUAUCAGAGGAACACCGUGGCGAAGGCGGGUCUCUGGGCAAUAACUGACGCUGAGGAGCGAAAGCGUGGGGAGCGAACAGG